UUAGUCCCAGUAUGACAGCAGCGGAAGGACCACACUCCCAUCCUAAGCAUUUUGACUCAACCAAAGAAGAAUGGACCAAUAGGAGAUGAGGAAGAUGAAAGGAACCCAAUCUGAUUAGUCCAGUAUGACGGCAACGGAAGGAUCACACUCCAUCCUAAGCAUUUUGACUCAACUCCUGCUCACUAGUUUCAUAUUUUCUUAAUAGAUUUAGCUUCAUUUCCGAGUGAAGACACAUCAACAGCCAAUCACCAUGAGAAGUUCUUGGAGGACAUGUUAUUUUUCUUCGAAGGAAACAUUGAGAUGUGAUCUUGUUUGAUUCAACAAAUGGAGAUUGCUAAACAUUUUGUGCUAACUUGACUGACUAAUGUCACUCAUAAGCUGUCAGGAAUUGUGCUUUCAGAAAGUUUUGGUGUCAAUUCUUCAUUCGAUUUCCAUGGUUUUUUAUCUUUCAUGUUUGUUCAUUGUUCCACAGGGUUGGGUAAAGCUCACGACAUGGGUUCUUCUUGAACUCUGCACCACAAUCUAACUAUAAUUCAAAUCGGUCUUUAGAUUUGAUUCCGCCGACAAAGAUUUCAACUCAAUCUAAGACGUUUUGACUUACCACCUGAACUCAACUCCCACUUCUUUUUCUGGUCACCUUCCCCAUAUUGUCUUCCCCUUCUUCUCUCUAUAUAUGCAUCAAGUUGCAGUCUUUGAGCGAGAUUCUGCACCAUUCCAAGUGUUUCUCGUCACAGGAAUGGAGGCUUCCACUGAUGAUGAUCGACUGGGCUUCGGGAAGAUGGGACAUGGGUGCAAGCAUUACAGGAGGCGGUGCAAGGUUCGAGCUUCCUGCUGCAAUGGGAUCUUCUCCUGCCGCCACUGUCACGAUGAGUCCACGAAGGAUCGGCAUGAGAUCUGCCGCUUCGAUGUGGAAAGGGUGAGUUUUGGCCCCGUCUGUGUUCGAUCUGCUUCUUCGAGGGGUGUGAAUUAGGUUUCUCCUCUUGAUUUGAUUCCGUAUGUGAUCUGUUCGAUUUGUGACACCGAGCAAACGGUCGCACAGAUUUGCUCGAAUUGUGGGGUCAACAUGGGCGAAUAUUCCUGUGGAGUGUGCGGAUUUUACGAUGACGAUAUUGAGAAAGCACAGUACCAGUGCAGUGAUUGCGGUAUCUGCAGAGUUGGUGGCGGAGAGACCUUCUUCCAUUGCCAGAAAUGUGGAUCCUGCUACUCUGUACACUUGUUUAACAAGCAUUCAUGUCUGGAGAACUCAAUGAGACAACAUUGCUCCAUCUGUUAUGAGUAUCUCUUUGACUCCAUGAAUGAAACAACAGUGAUGAAAUGUGGGCACACAAUGCAUACAGAAUGUCUCCAUGGAAUGUUGAAGCAUGAAAACUAAUCCUGCUCAAUGCUACUAAAUCUGCUUGAAGCAUAACAAUGAUCAUUUAUUUGACCUCAUUUUUGGGGUGUCUUGGGAUACAGAUACGGUUGUCCAAUAUGCUCCAAGUCAUUGAUUGACAUGACAAAAGUCUGGAGGAAGUUGGAUGAGGAGAUAGAAGAAAUAGAAAUGCCUGAGGAUUAUAGAUCAAGAAAGGUUAGUGUAUUUGCAUCUCCCAUACUUCCUAUGGUGUACUUUCAACUUGUUGGAGCUGAUUGAUAGCCAUCUUAACUAUUCCAACAUUUCUAGUACAAUUUAAUCAAAUUUGACUAAAUCAUUUAACUUGCCAUUUUAUUUUCUGAGAACUUUUCCUGAUCCUUUUUCAAGUAAGAGAGAAUUUGAAGACAUGACAAACAUAUUUAUUCUUUCUUAGUAGAUGCUCUCAAAGCAGUACCUCUACUGGACUUCAGGCAUACAGCAGCCUCUAAGCUUUCCUCUGCCAUUUGGAUCAUGAAACCUCAGUUUCUUUCUUCGUAGAUGCUCUCAAAGCAGUACCUCUCCUGGACUUUAGGCAAACAGUCAGCUUUCCUGUGCCAUUUGGAUCAUGAAACCUCAUUUUCCUGUGCUUGGAUUCUUCUCAUGUUUGAUACAAAUGAUAUUAAAUUUGCAGUGAUUUUGUAGAUGUGGAUCCUCUGCAACGACUGCAAUGACAUAUUACUGAAGUCUUCUUCCACAUUAUUGGCCACAAAUGCUGUCACUGCCAAUCCUACAACACUUGCAUGAUUGCUCCCCCUGUAAUCCAUCAAUGAUUGGGCUCUGCUCUGAAACAUUUAGGAUUGAUGAGCAACUCAAAUGCCUCUGGUGGUGUCUCCUUUCUGAUUCCAAGCUUAAUUGAUGUAUACAUACAAAAUGUUUUGGAUCUCCUGGACUAGAUUUGGUUGUAACCAUUUAGUGUACUUAGUACAUUUGGAUCACAUAUUAUGGUGCAUCAA